rnacentral:lncRNA from 1 species
AAAUUCUAGCAUUUGUAUAAAGCAAAUAAAUACCAAUUUUCAUCCUCAUUUUAACAAUUACUAUUCUAGCUCACGAGAAGACAUCAAAUUAUACUGCACUUAUUCCAGCACACCGAUACAAAUAGUAAGUCAUGUUUUCAUCCAAAAUCACAUCAAACACAAAGUCAUGAGUUUCAUACAAAUUAAACUUCAUAUCACAUUAGCUACUCUAGGUCCCAACAAAUGAAUUUGCCAAGAUG